GAAAUGCGAUAAGUAGUGUGAAUUGCAGAAUUCAGUGAAUCAUCGAAUCUUUGAACGCACAUUGCGCCCCUUGGUAUUCCAUGGGGCAUGCCUGUUCGAGCGUCAUUUGUACCCUCAAGCUCUGCUUGGUGUUGGGUGUUUGUCCACUCCCUGUGUGUGGACUCGCCUCAAAGCAAUUGGCAGCCAGUGUUUUGGUAUUGAAGCGCAGCACAUUUUGCGAUUCCUGCCGGUAACACUGGCGUCCAGUAAGCCUUUUUCCACUUUUGACCUCGGAUCAGGUAGGGAUACCCGCUGAACUUAA
rnacentral:misc_RNA from 1 species